rnacentral:rRNA from 1 species
GUCUACGACCAUGAUACUCUGAAUAAGCCCCAUCCUACCUGAUCUCAGAAGCUAAGCAGGGUCGGGCCUGGUUAGUACCUGGAUGGGAGGAGACUACCUAGGAAGACCAGGUGCUGUAGGCA